rnacentral:rRNA from 1 species
UACGGGGGGGAGCAAGCGUUGUUCGGAUUUACUGGGCGUAAAGGGCGCGUAGGCGGUCAGCACAAGUCAGUUGUGAAAUCUCCGAGCUUAACUCGGAAAGGUCAACUGAUACUGUGCGACUAGAGUGCGGAAGGGGCAACUGGAAUUCUUGGUGUAGCGGUGAAAUGCGUAGAUAUCAAGAGGAAACACCAGUGGCGAAGGCGGUUCUCUGGGACGGUACUGACGCUGAGACGCGAAAGCGUGGGGAGCGAACAGG